GGCGCGGUGGCCGAGGAGUUAGGCAAGGGUCUGCAAAACCCUUUACACGGGUGCGAAUCCCGUUCGCGCCUCCA
rnacentral:tRNA from 2 species